ACGCUGAUUCCCCUGCUUGCUGGGGUGGAUGAGUGGCGAACGGGUGAGUAACACGUGAGUAACCUUCCCUUGACUCUGGGAUAAGCCCGGGAAACUGGGUCUAAUACCGGAUACGACCUCCUGCCGCAUGGUGUGGGGGUGGAAAGAUUUAUCGGUUUUGGAUGGACUCGCGGCCUAUCAGCUUGUUGGUGAGGUAAUGGCUCACCAAGGCGACGACGGGUAGCCGGCCUGAGAGGGUGACCGGCCACACUGGGACUGAGACACGGCCCAGACUCCUACGGGAGGCAGCAGUGGGGAAUAUUGCACAAUGGGCGCAAGCCUGAUGCAUCGACGCCGCGUGAGGGAUGACGGCCUUCGGGUUGUAAACCUCUUUCAGUAAGGAAGAAGCGAAAGUGACGGUACCUGCAGAAGAAGCGCCGGCUAACUACGUGCCAGCAGCCGCGGUAAUACGUAGGGCGCGAGCGUUAUCCGGAAUUAUUGGGCGUAAAGAGCUCGUAGGCGGUUUGUCGCGUCUGCCGUGAAAGUCCGGGGCUUAACCCCGGAUCUGCGGUGGGUACGGGCAGACUAGAGUGCAGUAGGGGAGACUGGAAUUCCUGGUGUAGCGGUGAAAUGCGCAGAUAUCAGGAGGAACACCGAUGGCGAAGGCAGGUCUCUGGGCUGUUACUGACGCUGAGGAGCUAAAGCAUGGAGAGCGAACAGGAUUUAGAUACCCUGGUAGUCCAUGCCGUAAACGUUGGGCACUAGGUGUGGGGGACAUUUCCCGUUUUCCGCGCCGCAGCUAACGCAUUAAGUGCCUCGCUUGGGGAGUACGGCCGCAGGGCUAAAACUCAAAGGAAUUGACCGGGGCUCGCACAAGCGGCGGAGCAUUGCGUAUUAAUUCGAUGCAACACGAAUAACCUUACCAGGGCU
rnacentral:rRNA from 1 species